rnacentral:rRNA from 1 species
GGCGUAAAGCGCACGCAGGCGGUUUGUUAAGUCUGAUGUGAAAUCCCCGGGCUCAACCUGGGAACUGCUUUUGAAACUGGCAAGCUAGAGUCUUGUAGAGGGGGGUAGAAUUCCAGGUGUAGCGGUGAAAUGCGUAGAGAUCUGGAGGAAUACCGGUGGCGAAGGCGGCCCCCUGGACAAAGACUGACGCUCAGGUGCGAAAGCGUGGGGAGCAAACAGGAUUAGAUACCCUGGUAGUCCACGCCGUAAACGAUGUCGACUUGGAGGUUGUGCCCUUGAGGCGUGGCUUCCGGAGCUAACGCGUUAAGUCGACCGCCUGGGGAGUACGGCCGCAAGGUUAAAACUCAAAUGAAUUGACGGGGGCCCGCACAAGCGGUGGAACAUGUGGUUUAAUUCCAUGCAACGCGAAAAACCUUACCUACUCUUGACAUCCAGAGAAUUUAGUAGAAAUGCUUUGGUGCCUUCGGGAACUCUGAGACAGGUGCUGCAUGGCUGUCGUCAGCUCGUGUUGUGAAAUGUUGGGUUAAGUCCCGCAACGAGCGCAACCCUUAUCCUUUGUUGCCAGCGCUUCAGGCGGGGAACUCAAGGAAAAUGGCCGGUGAUAAACGGAAGAAGGGGGGG